GUGCUGGCUUUGGUAGCACAUAUACUAAAGAUGGAACGAUGCAGAGAAGGUUAGCAUGGCUCCUGUGCAAGGAUAACAACCAAUCUGUGAAGCAGUCCAUAUUUUA
ensembl:snRNA U6 U6 spliceosomal RNA